AGCGGCAGGCUUAACACAUGCAAGUCGAGGGGCAGCACGGGUAGCAAUACCUGGUGGCGACCGGCGCAAGGGUGCGUAACGCGUGAGCAACAUGCCCUAUACAGGGGGAUAAUCCAGGGAAACCUGGUCUAAUAUCCCAUAGUAUUUAGAGGAGGCAUCUUCUAUAAAUUAAAGCUUCGGUGGUAUAGGAUUGGCUCGCGUGACAUUAGCUAGAUGGUGAGGUAACGGCUCACCAUGGCAAUGAUGUCUAGGGGUUCUGAGAGGAAGGCCCCCCACACUGGGACUGAGACACGGCCCAGACUCCUACGGGAGGCAGCAGUGAGGAAUAUUGGACAAUGGAUGGAAAUCUGAUCCAGCCAUGCCGCGUGCAGGAAGACAGCCCUAUGGGUUGUAAACUGCUUUUAUAUGGGAGCAAUAAGGUCUACGUGUAGACUGAUGAGAGUACCAUAUGAAUAAGCAUCGGCUAACUCCGUG
rnacentral:rRNA from 1 species